GACGAACGCUGGCGGCGUGCUUAACACAUGCAAGUCGAACGGACAGACAGAGAGCUUGCUCUCUUGAAGUUAGUGGCGAACGGGUGAGUGACGCGUAAUCAACCUGCCCUUCAGAGGGGGAUAACAACGGGAAACCGUUGCUAAUACCGCGUACGAUUCAUGAACGGCAUCGUUUGUGAAUGAAAGGUGGCCUCUAUGUAUAAGCUAUCGCUGAAGGAGGGGAUUGCGUCUGAUUAGCUAGUUGGAAGGGUAACGGCCCACCAAGGCCAUGAUCAGUGGCCGGUCUGAGAGGGUGAGCGGCCACGUUGGGACUGAGACACGGCCCAAACUCCUACGGGAGGCAGCAGUGGGGAAUCUUCCGCAAUGGACGAAAGUCUGACGGAGCAACGCCGCGUGAGUGAUGAAGGUCUUCGGAUUGUAAAGCUCUGUUAAUCGGGACGAAAGAGUUCUGCGUGAAUAAUGCAGAAAAGUGACGGUACCGGAAUAGAAAGCCACGGCUAACUACGUGCCAGCCGCCGCAGUAA
rnacentral:rRNA from 1 species